GACGGACGCUGGCGGCGUGCCUAAUACAUGCAAGUUGAGCGCUGAAGGUUGGUACUUGUACCAACUGGAUGAGCAGCGAACGGGUGAGUAACGCGUGGGGAAUCUGCCUUUGAGCGGGCGACAACAUUUGGAAACGAAUGCUAAUACCGCAUAAAAACUUUAAACACAAGUUUUAAGUUUGAAAGAUGCAAUUGCAUCACUCAAAGAUGAUCCCGCGUUGUAUUAGCUAGUUGGUGAGGUAAAGGCUCACCAAGGCGAUGAUACAUAGCCGACCUGAGAGGGUGAUCGGCCACAUUGGGACUGAGACACGGCCCAAACUCCUACGGGAGGCAGCAGUAGGGAAUCUUCGGCAAUGGACGAAAGUCUGACCGAGCAACGCCGCGUGAGUGAAGAAGGUUUUCGGAUCGUAAAACUCUGUUGGUAGAGAAGAACGUUGGUGAGAGUGGAAAGCUCAUCAAGUGACGGUAACUACCCAGAAAGGGACGGCUAACUACGUG
rnacentral:rRNA from 1 species